CUCUAAUAGUUUAUGAAAACAUC
rnacentral:tRNA from 3 species